UUCAAAGUUUUGUUGUUUUCAAAUUAGUUGCGAUGUUUCAAUUUUAUUGCAUUUUGUACUAUUGACCGAUAAGCUGUGCGAUUUCGCGAGCGAACCACCAAAGCGUGAACACUAUCAGUAGUUCGAUCGUCAGACGAUGCAAUAAAUUGUUUUUCCGAUUAUUUUAUAAUUCCGAGAUUCGAAUAUUAUUCACCCAAUACUAAUUUCUUUGUUUAAUAAUUCAAAAAGGAAAAAAAAAAAUAAUUUCAAUACUCUACAGGUGGGUGGGUGCCUUCGGAAAAGAUACAUUUUAUGAAUGCAAGUAAAUUAUUCCGUGGAUAAUGGCAGAAAAUCGUGAUUCAGUGUUGCUAAAUAUUAUUUGGAAAAAUUAAUCGCGAAAUAAGGCAAAAAAAGCGCCAAAUGUCUAAUUUAAACGCGAAAAAGCAGCAGUUGCUCUGUCUCAACUGACAGUUCAGUUGUAAACAAACAAAUUGUAAAUAAACAAACAAAAUAAAAUUUCUAGUGAUUGUGUCCAAACUAUUUGUGUCCUUAAAAAAUUAAAAAAAAUGAAUAUUUCUGUAGCCCUAUUUUUUAUGGAUGAUGAGGAGGAGGUUCAAAAUGUGCCACGGAGGCAUUUAAGAGAUGCUUCGAAUUUAUUUGAAGUACCUAACAACCAGUUUGUGUCUUCCAGUGGUCUUCAAGGGAUUGCCUGCUGCUUCCAAAAAUUGGCACUCCUCUGGCGAACUUAGGAUUCUCCUCCAUAUACUCAACUAGUGCCCGCAGCUGUGUAGUUUUUUCGUGCUGGAAUUGAGAAAAUAAAAAAAUAUAUAUUUGUUGUUCACAGAUUAAA